AAUGAACGCUGGCGGCGCGCCUAAUACAUGCAAGUCGAGCGAGAAGACGUAGCAAUACGUUUGUAAAGCGGCGAACGGGUGAGGAAUACAUGGGUAACCUACCCUCGAGUGGGGAAUAACUAGCCGAAAGGUUAGCUAAUACCGCGUACGCUUCUUGGACUUCGGUUCAGGGAGGAAAGCGAUGCCGAGGGUAUCGCGCUCUUGGAUGGGCUCAUGUCCUAUCAGCUUGUUGGGAGGUAACGGCUCACCAAGGCUUCGACGGGUAGCUGGUCUGAGAGGACGAUCAGCCACACUGGCACUGCGACACGGGCCAGACUCCUACGGGAGGCAGCAGUAAGGAAUAUUGCGCAAUGGGCGAAAGCCUGACGCAGCGACGCCGCGUGGGGGGAGUGAAGGUCUUCGGUA
rnacentral:rRNA from 1 species